rnacentral:misc_RNA from 1 species
AGCUCCUCGGUUGUAGGGGUAAAAUACCCCAACUAGUGCAAGAAUAAAAAUGAAAAUUGUAAGGGCAAAUAGCUGGGUUCCAGAACCGAGACAUGCAGAAAAUAGCGACUUGUUAUUUGGAUACCUGAAGACAUCACCAUGAAUAUAUUUCCAACCAGAUUCUUCUUGGUCCUCGGCUGCCUCCUCAUCGUGAGCAUACUUGACAAAGUCAU